UACGAAGGGGGCUAGCGUUGCUCGGAUUGACUGGGCGUAAAGGGCGCGUAGGCGGUUCGUACAGUCAGACGUGAAAUCCCUCGGCUUAACCGGGGAACUGCGUCUGAUACUGGAUGGCUAGAGUUUGGGAGAGGGAUGCGGAAUUCCAGGUGUAGCGGUGAAAUGCGUAGAUAUCUGGAGGAACACCGGUGGCGAAGGCGGCAUCCUGGACCAACACUGACACUGAGGAGCGAAAGCCAGGGGAGCAAACGGG
rnacentral:rRNA from 1 species